rnacentral:rRNA from 1 species
AUGGAGAGGACGCCGGUGAUGGUGAGGCAGGGCGGCCAGGAGGUGCUGAGGCAGCUGCCGCCCGGGUUCCGCUUCCGCCCUACAGACGAGGAGCUGGUUGUGCAGUACCUCCGCCGAAAGGCCCUCGCCCUCCCGCUCCCAGCUGCUGUCAUCUCCGAUGUCCACAACCUCUACAGCCUCGACCCCUGGGACAUCCCCGGCGCGAGAGAGGGGGAGAAGUACUACUUUGCGGUCCGGCCGGCCGCCGGCGCCAAGAGGGGUGGCAGGACCACGACGGCGAGCGGGUGCUGGAAGCCUGCGAGCGCGAGGGAGAGGCCGGUGGUGGUGUCCCGGUGCGGCCGGAGCCACCUCGUCGGCGUCAAGAAGUCCCUGGCCUUCGUCCCCCGACGUGGCAAGGGCAAGGGCUCCAAGGCCCCGCCGGCGUCAGCGCAGACCGGCUGGGUCAUGCACGAGUACCGCCUCGCCCUGCCGCAUCACCACAAGAAUGGUUGCUGCUUGGCUGAGGCUGGAACUGAAGAGUGGGUAGUGUGCCGGAUCUUCCAAAGGGACAGGUCGUCGUCGUCGUCCAACAGACAAACGCCGGGCAUCCAGGGCACCGACGCGCACCACACGAUGCCGCCAUCGCCGUCGUCGUCGUCGUCUUCCAGCUGCGUCACAAGCGGCGGCGGCUCCCCGGACAUGCAGGAGGAGGUCAGCAGCUGA